UUUAUUGGAGAGUUUGAUCCUGGCUCAGGAUGAACGCUGGCGGCGUGCCUAAUACAUGCAAGUCGAGCGAAUGGAUUAAGAGCUUGCUCUUAUGAAGUUAGCGGCGGACGGGUGAGUAACACGUGGGUAACCUGCCCAUAAGACUGGGAUAACUCCGGGAAACCGGGGCUAAUACCGGAUAACAUUUUGCAUCGCAUGGUGCGAAAUUCAAAGGCGGCUUCGGCUGUCACUUAUGGAUGGACCCGCGUCGCAUUAGCUAGUUGGUGAGGUAACGGCUCACCAAGGCAACGAUGCGUAGCCGACCUGAGAGGGUGAUCGGCCACACUGGGACUGAGACACGGCCCAGACUCCUACGGGAGGCAGCAGUAGGGAAUCUUCCGCAAUGGACGAAAGUCUGACGGAGCAACGCCGCGUGAGUGAUGAAGGCUUUCGGGUCGUAAAACUCUGUUGUUAGGGAAGAACAAGUGCUAGUUGAAUAAGCU
rnacentral:rRNA from 1 species